rnacentral:rRNA from 1 species
UACAGAGGUGGCAAGCGUUGUUCGGAAUUACUGGGCGUAAAGGGCGCGUAGGCGGCCUACUAAGUCAGACGUGAAAUCCCCAGGCUUAACUUGGGAACUGCGUCUGAUACUGGAAGGCUUGAGUGCGGGAGAGGGAUGUGGAAUUCCAGGUGUAGCGGUGAAAUGCGCAGAUAUCGGGAAGAACACCCGUGGCGAAGGCGGCUCUCUGGGACGGUACUGACGCUGAGACGCGAAAGCGUGGGGAGCGAACAGG